UCUCCCAUCACGAACCACCUCACGCUAGGCAAAUUCAAUCUAAAGCUAUCGCUUAUUAUCCUCGCUAUCCUCACCGCCGAUCUCGAGCUCGAGAAUUUGAACUUAGUCCAUUCCGGAGACGAAACCCGAUAAGGCGGUACCGAUAUUUCGGGGCGGUCGUUAAUUUUGUAUCCAGGAAUUUCGUCAAGCCAGACGAAACCACGGGUUUUGUUUGCGUCCCACCAGAGAGAACUGUAGCGGCUGCGAUCCUUCCAUGUCGCAGCUGAUCCGCCGAUGCCGAAGAGGAUGUGGGAGAUGUUAGUGGGACCGAAAUCGUGUUUGGACUCGGGCACUGGUACGGUUCGUUUUGGGGCGGGGAAACGGAGGCGGAGCGAGUGGGUUUGGGGAGAGAAGGCUGUGUAGAGGACGAGCGAGAUUGAGGAGACGAGAAAGGAGAGGAUGAAAAUUCUCGCGAAAAUAUCGCACGGUUUAUCGAGGAGAGAAAAUAAUUUGAGCUUUUUGACCGGGUCGUGACUCGGUUGCAUACGAUUCUGACUCAUUUUCCUCUUCUUGUUGAAAAUUUAUCGCUCCCCGUGGAGUUCUUAGUUAACAAAACAACCGCUGAUCGCCGGAGAACUUUUCAGAUACACCCUGAUCAGAAAAAAUAUAUUUCCGUACACCUGAAAGAUUCUAAUUUAUAAAUGUGCCUCUGAAGAAGGCCUGAAAAACUCUUCAAUUACACCCGGACUCUGGGCUCCUAAGCCUCCUCUACAGUGUACGAAAACAUGAAACCCUUUCUGAAACUACCAAUGGUCGCCGGAAAAAUGUUCAUUUACGUCCAGAGAUGAAGCUCAAAGCUUCAUCGAUGAUGUUGAUGAACCAAAAGCGGAAAAAAAAGCAAAAACUUAAUUUAUGAAAGUACCCAUGAUUGCAGAAAAUCUUUUCAUCUGAGACCAAACUCGGAGGAGCCCAAAGGUGGCGAAGAUUUUCCGAGUUCCGUACGAUGAUCAACCCAUAAAAUUGGAUAAGUCCGUGAUGAAUUUGAAAUGACGAAGCUGCCGACAAUUGGCAGGAAAUGUAAUUUUAUUGAUACCCAAUAGCAACCUAUCUGAGGGUGAAAAAAUUUUGGUGGUGCGGUGUAAAUUUUCGUGGCUUUCGAAUCUCUCCUGUGUGUGAAGAAGGGACUUGUCCCCUGUUAGUGGGUUGUUUUCAGCUUUUUCGGUUGAAACAAGGAAGAGAGAGAAGAAGAAAGGUUGAGAGAGGGCGGUACGUACGAAUGAUGAAGAUUGAAGAGACAGGAGGAAGUGAAAAUUAUUGUGAAGGAAAAAAAAAG
rnacentral:misc_RNA from 1 species